rnacentral:rRNA from 1 species
CAGUAGCCGCGGGAAUACAGAGGAUGCAAGCGUUAUCCGGAAUGAUUGGGCGUAAAGGGCUCGCAGGCGGUUUCUUAAGUCUGAUGUGAAAGCCCCCGGCUCAACCGGGGAGGGUCAUUGGAAACUGGGAAACUUGAGUGCAGAAGAGGAGAGUGGAAUUCCACGUGUAGCGGUGAAAUGCGUAGAGAUGUGGAGGAACACCAGUGGCGAAGGCGACUCUCUGGUCUGUAACUGACGCUGAGGAGCGAAAGCGUGGGGAGCGAACAGGAUUAGAUACCCCGGUAGUCCCUGUCUCUAUACA